rnacentral:rRNA from 1 species
UACGGAGGAUGCGAGCGUUAUCCGGAUUUAUUGGGUUUAAAGGGUGCGCAGGCGGCACGGCAAGCCGGCGGUCAAAUCGCGGGGCUCAACCCCGCCCAGCCGUCGGAACUGCCGGGCUAGAGUGGGCGAGAAGUGCGCGGAAUGCGUGGUGUAGCGGUGAAAUGUAUAGAUAUCACGCAGAACUCCGAUUGCGAAGGCAGCGCACCGGCGCCCUACUGACGCUCAGGCACGAAAGCGUGGGUAUCGAACAGG